GUAGUACAUAUACUGAAAUUGCAUGAUACAGAGAAGAUUAGCAUGGCCCCUGCUCAAGGAUUACACACAAAUUCAUGAAGUGUACCAUAUUUUU
rnacentral:snRNA from 1 species